GAUGAACGCUAGCUACAGGCUUAACACAUGCAAGUCGAGGGGAAACGACAUCGAAAGCUUGCUUUUGAUGGGCGUCGACCGGCGCACGGGUGAGUAACGCGUAUCCAACCUGCCCAUCACUUGGGAAUAACCUUGCGAAAGUAAGACUAAUACCCAAUGACAUCCCACGAAGACAUCUGAAUGGGAUUAAAGAUUUAUCGGUGAUGGAUGGGGAUGCGUCUGAUUAGCUUGUUGGCGGGGUAACGGCCCACCAAGGCAACGAUCAGUAGGGGUUCUGAGAGGAAGGUCCCCCACAUUGGAACUGAGACACGGCCCAAACUCCUACGGGAGGCAGCAGUGAGGAAUAUUGGUCAAUGGGCGAGAGCCUGAACCAGCCAAGUAGCGUGCAGGAUGACGGCCCUAUGGGUUGUAAACUGCUUUUAUAAGGGAAUAAAGUGGGUCUCGGGAGACUUUUUGCAUGUACCUUAUGAAUAAGGACCGGCUAAUUCCGUG
rnacentral:rRNA from 1 species